UGGGGAAUAUUGCACAAUGGGCGAAAGCCUGAUGCAGCAACGCCGCGUGAGUGAUGAAGGCCUUCGGGUUGUAAAGCUCUGUCUUUUGGGACGAUAAUGACGGUACCAAAGGAGGAAGCCACGGCUAACUACGUGCCAGCAGCCGCGGUAAUACGUAGGUGGCAAGCGUUGUCCGGAUUUACUGGGCGUAAAGGAUGCGUAGGCGGAUUUUUAAGUGAGAUGUGAAAUACCCGGGCUUAACUUGGGUGCUGCAUUUCAAACUGGGAAUCUAGAGUGCGGGAGAGGAGAAUGGAAUUCCUAGUGUAGCGGUGAAAUGCGUAGAGAUUAGGAAGAACACCAGUGGCGAAGGCGAUUCUCUGGACCGUAACUGACGCUGAGGCAUGAAAGCGUGGGUAGCAAACAGGAUUAGAUACCCUGGUAGUCCACGCCGUAAACGAUGAGUACUAGGUGUAGGAGGUAUCGACCCCUUCUGUGCCGCAGUUAACACAAUCAAGUACUCCGCCUGGG
rnacentral:rRNA from 1 species